UAAUUGCAUAAUUUAACGAUUUCCCUUUCAUAUUUGAUAUUGAUUAGCUCACCAAUCCAUAUGUAAUGGAACUCUAUUCGCUUUUCUGAUUGAUAUAUAAAAUAAUAGAAUUAAUCAAAUUAGGAAAUCCUCUAUUUACUAUUCACUGAAUAAUAACUUUUUUGUUGACAAAAGAAUAAAGAUCAUUUCUAUUCCAAGGUGGGGAGUUUUAUUUUCCCCACCGACCUA
rnacentral:sRNA from 1 species